GAUGAAGAACGUAGCGAAAUGCGAUAAGUAAUGUGAAUUGCAGAAUUCAGUGAAUCAUCGAAUCUUUGAACGCACAUUGCGCCCCUUGGUAUUCCGAGGGGCAUGCCUGUUCGAGCGUCAUUAUCACCCCUCAAGCUUUGCUUGGUGUUGGGGCCUGCUGUAAUAGGCAGCCCUUAAAAUCAGUGGCGGUGCUUCAAGGCUCUAAGCGUAGUAAUUCUCCUCGCUAUAGUGUCUAGUGGUUGCCAGCCAGAACCCCCCAUUUUUUAUGAUUGACCUCGGAUCAGGUAGGGAUACCCGCUGAACUUUAGCAUAUCAAUAAGCGGAGGA
rnacentral:misc_RNA from 1 species